rnacentral:rRNA from 1 species
UACAAAGGGGGCGAGCGUUGUUCGGAAUUACUGGGCGUAAAGGGCGCGCAGGCGGCUCUGAAAGUCAGAUGUGAAAGCCCCGGGCUUAACCUGGGAAUUGCAUUUGAUACUCUGGAGCUUGAGUACGGGAGAGGAGAGUGGAAUUCCCAGUGUAGAGGUGAAAUUCGUAGAUAUUGGGAAGAACACCGGUGGCGAAGGCGGCUCUCUGGACCGUAACUGACGCUGAGGCUCGCAAGCGUGGGGAGCAAACAGG